CCACAGAAAUUAGGCCCAAAUAAAAUCCAUAUAAAUGUUUAGAGAAUUAGGGUUUCUCAUUUGCCUGUUUCCUUUCUCCUUGAGUUAGGUUUUCCGCCGCUGUUGUGCCGUGAGCAACCAUAUCUUAUCAUUCCAUAUUCUCUGUUACCGUAAUACUACAUAAAUGUUCAACUAUAACUCUAUUCAUGGUGGAAGCUUUUUGAACUCAAGGUUAAGGACUCUAAAACCCUUCUUGUUGGGUGGUGUCAUGAAAGUUGUUAUUCAACAUCAUUCCUAGCAGAACUGGAGCUGCCAAGGUUAAGAGAGUUUAGAGAUUGAAAGGCUUGUAUUUGUUACAUGAGUGGGAGAUAAAGUGACACUUGAAUAUAUAAAGCAUGUUAGCAAUAUCAUUGAGAAAUUUUAUAGUGCAACAAGCAAAGAAAAGAAUAAAGGUUGUAUCAGGAGUGGAAAUUGCUUUGUCUUGUGCCUCCUUCAAGUCCAUUAAAUAUUAACAUAGAAAUUGAAGGAAAAAAAUUGAAAAGAUUAUAAUCAAGAAAUAGAAGAGAAGAUAAGUUAGCCUCAGCUGUGGAGGAGAAGGCAUCAACACAAAUAUGAACAUAUGGACAUUUGGACAAACAUAAUUUGUGUUAUUUACUGUUAUUUUAAUUGUUUUAAUUUUAAUAAUUUUAAGAAAUAACAAAAAAAACAAGGUAUUUAUUUGUUAAUUAAAAAUUGAGUAAAAAUAAUUUAAUUUUGUAA